ACGAACGCUGGCGGCGUGCUUAACACAUGCCAGUCGAACGGAAAGGCCCUGCUUGCAGGGUGCUCGAGUGGCGAACGGGUGAGUAACACGUGGGUGAUCUGCCCCUUACUUUGGGAUAAGCCUGGGAAACUGGGUCUAAUACUGGAUAGGACCAUGCUGUAGGUGGUGUGGUGGAAAGAUUUUUUCGGUAAGGGAUGAGCUCGCGGCCUAUCAGCUUGUUGGUGGGGUAAUGGCCUACCAAGGCGUCGACGGGUAGCCGGCCUGAGAGGGUGGACGGCCACAUUGGGACUGAGAUACGGCCCAGACUCCUACGGGAGGCAGCAGUGGGGAAUAUUGCACAAUGGGCGCAAGCCUGAUGCAGCGACGCCGCGUGGGGGAUGACGGCCUUCGGGUUGUAAACUCCUUUCAGCCAUGACGAAGCCUCUUUUGGGGUGACGGUAGUGGUAGAAGAAGCACCGGCUAACUACGUG
rnacentral:rRNA from 1 species